CACCAGACUCCUACGGGAGGCAGCAGUGGGGAAUAUUGCACAAUGGGGGAAACCCUGAUGCAGCGACGCCGCGUGAGCGAUGAAGUAUUUCGGUAUGUAAAGCUCUAUCAGCAGGGAAGAAAAUGACGGUACCUGACUAAGAAGCCCCGGCUAACUACGUGCCAGCAGCCGCGGUAAUACGUAGGGGGCAAGCGUUAUCCGGAUUUACUGGGUGUAAAGGGAGCGUAGACGGCUGUGCAAGCCAGAUGUGAAAGCCCGGGGCUCAACCCCGGGACUGCAUUUGGAACUGUGUGGCUGGAGUGUCGGAGAGGCAGGCGGAAUUCCUAGUGUAGCGGUGAAAUGCGUAGAUAUUAGGAGGAACACCAGUGGCGAAGGCGGCCUGCUGGACGAUGACUGACGUUGAGGCUCGAAAGCGUGGGGAGCAAACAGGAUUAGAUACCCGCGUA
rnacentral:rRNA from 1 species